CCUUGCUCCUGGGGUGUGUCUCUGCCCUCCACCUCUGUGCUUGGGGAUGCCGUUUCCUUGUUUGUGCAGCUGUGCGAGCUUGCAGAAGAACCAGUUUUGCUCAGCUUUGGCUUUUGGAGAGAAGAAAUGAUUGCUGGAGAAACGGAGCUGGGCAGCAAGUCCCUGCUCAGGACGGGGUGAUGCAUUGAGCAUGGGAUAGCAAACAAAACACGUCGCUGCAUGGGAUCACCGCCCUGGGUGAUGGAAGCACUUGGCUUUAAAAAGAAAAGCAGGGAGAUUUUUUCUUUCCCUAGUCAUUUAUGCAGAAAAACACCCUCUGAGUGGGGUGUGGUUUCCUUCGGCAGCUGAAAUCGCCUGCCUCUUGCUUUCAGCUACAACCACCAAAGUUUCCAAAAUAAAACAAAAGCAUUAAGUGUGAUUAUUGGGCAAGACUUGCUUCUUCCUCAGACCUCACUGCAGCCUUCCCCAGCCCAGGGCUGCCUGGAUGAGGAGCGUGUCAGAGCCAGUGGCUGGUGGUGAGGGCCAGCAAACCCCCUUCUGCACAGCUGGGAUGCACUUUGCUUGAGAACCAACCUUUUGCCAAAAUGUUCUUUUGCUGACCAUCACCUUUGCAAUAAUAAUAACAAAGAGAGAGAGACAGAGACAGGAAAGGGAAGUUGUUGUUGUUGUUUGUUUGUUUGUUUGUUUGUUUUCAGGUUAAAACAAGAGAAAAAUGCUCCAGCUGCCGCAGGAGGAAGCCCAGUGGCAGGGGUGGGAGUGGGAAGGCUGUGGUGGCUCAGGGGGUGGCUUCCUUGCAGAGGCUGCCUUGACACAACGAGGACAGAAAGAGUUAAACUUUGGUGUGGCUAGAGGAGCUCAGGUGUGACUCUGUUUUCCUUCAGGACUACAGCAGGCAACGCAGCAACAGCUUUGGGGUGAGGUUAGAAAAUGCCUCCCCAGGAGACCUGGGGCUCCAUCCCUGUGGCACAUGGCUGCAAGGGCAGCGCCUGCCCUGGGGACAAAGCUGGCUGAAGGACCUGGUCGGUGGGAAGGGGAAGCAGCUGGGAAGCUUGGAUUUGCCCCGUGCUCAGGAGAGCAAAGAGGAUGAGAUUUGCUGUGGCGGUGGUGACAUCCUGCGUGGAGCAUCUCCAUGCUGCCUUCGGGAGCUGCUGAGCCACUCUUCCACUACGCUAAAAGCAGAAACCUGCUCACACAGAGCCCAAGUAAGUGAAGAAUAAAUGUUUUUAGAUUUGACUCUGGAAGCAGGUUCGAUAGGUAAGUGGAAAAGAGUGAGGUUUGAAAAAUGACAACCUGUCCUCGCUCUGCAUGUCUUCGCUUUCUGCCCCUGGGAGGAGCAGGGCUCGAUCCCACAGCAGCUGCCUGUUGCCAGCGGAUGGUUUAACAACAAAACCUCGGGUGCUGUGCAGGUGCCAGGGCUGCUGCUGGUGCUGUGCAGAGGGUGCCCAGCGCUGCGCUGCCAGCCCCGAGAGCUCUGCAGGCAUGUGGGGACCAGGGGGUGCGGGGCCGGGGCUCCAGAGGGACCUUGCCCACGCAGGGAGCUCUCUCGCCCUGUUUUGGGCACCCGGUAAGAGAUGUUACAGAGCAUCUUGGCAGGGCUGGAAUGUGGCAUCCAUCCCUGGGGCCGUAUUCUGACUGCUCAGCAGCUCUUCCUCUGUCCCUUUCCAGUUUGCAGUCUGAAAGGUGGGUUUGGGUCUUUCCAGGCUGCUUUACACAGCUCUUCCAGCAGUGUUUUAAAGCACUGAUUGCAUUCCUACAAGCACAUCACCUGUGUUCACUUAGUAAUAGAAGUUUUACCUUCUGCUGCUGGCAGAGGGCUUGUUCAGGCUCUGAGAGGUGAUACAGGUGAUGUUUUCAAAAGGUGCAGUGUCCAAGCUAGAUGCGACCUGACCCAUCCUACAGGAGAGGACUCUGGUCCAGCUGUGGGCACCUGGCACCUACUGCAGGACUUGCAGGGUGGUCUGGGGGGUCUCCCACCAUGGUGGCUGGAAGGAUGGGGAGCUGGGGAAGCAGCGCCUAAACUGGGAAUACUGCUGAUUCAGGAAGAGCUCCAGGGUGGAUGCACACCCCUGCGUUUGCAUUGGACUGGAGGACAACCUGCCUGGGGUCACCACGGAGUCAAGAGAUCCCUUAAUGCAGCUUCUCCAAACACUGUAAAAUGGAGAGAAAAAAAAAAAAAAGGGAGGGGGGAGGAUUUUGCAGAGGAAAGUGAGACAGCCUUACAUCUGCUUGUAUUUGUUUUUUGCAAAGCUGUAUCUUUGGGCAUGUGGAUGCUUAUAGACAGCUCAGUGGAAGACACAAGUGCCCCCAGACCUUAAGCUGGAGCCCCCCACAGCCACCCUCUCUGUGACACGCUUCUCGGUUCAGACCUGCGGCGUUAAGCUGCCUGCUCUGACAGCAAACACAGCACGCCAGGGACUUCCUGAAUUUUUUCGGAUUUGCAGAGACUGGAACUUGUCAGAAGAUUGCCCUGGUCCUGAUAAAACUUUCCUUAAGAACAUGUUUCAAAUCUCAGAAAGCCUCUCUUGUCAGAGCUGGUUCCUCGAGCCGCCACAUAACGAGGGCAUGAACUCGCCGUGAGCGCUGCGGGGCCCGAUUCUGCCUGAGCCCAGCACCCCCGCUGGCCAGGAGCUGGCUCUGCCUUAUCUGUCGGUGGAAACGUUGGGGGCUCGUCUUGAUAGGGAAUGGGAAAGUGUUGGUGAGAGCAAGGCGUUUCCUGAGCUGAUGAUGCUGCUCUUUGCCCGGCUUUAGUGACGGGUGGUGGUGAGGUGUCUGCGGGUGCUGGGGUGAUCAAAGGGAGAGGGGGGGCAGGAGGCGAGCUGGAUCCCACUGCGGUGCCACCGUGGGGCAGGGGGCAGGGGGCAGGGAGGGCCUUUCUGCCUCCCCCAGCAUUCCCCCCUCGAGCUUUGUCCUGGUCUUUCCUCAAAAUGAUGAAGAGCAGCCGUCAGCGGGUAAUGAUUUAGCAUGUGGGAAGCCUGAGCUUUAUUGGUGUCCCUGUCCCAGUUCCUUUUAAGCCCACAGUAGGAAUCUCCUGAGCAGACAGAUGUAAACUGGCUGACUAAACUGAACCUAUGCGAGGUAAUGUGACUGAGCCUCAUAAAUCCCACCGGUUCUCAUGUAUCAGCCCAGUUUCCUCAGCAACAUGAAAACUGCCUGCUCCCAUCAGCCAGCUGUGAGGAAGGGAAGGGCUCAUGUGGGCUGCCUCAAAACCCUUUGCACCCCAAAUGCCAUCAGUGAUCUGGGCUCGAGUUUCGGCCCUGCAGUGUGUAUGGGAUGCUGAGCUGAUCUCUCUCCUGUUUUCAGGAAUAAUUUCUCAGAAAAAUGCUCAGAGGCAGCCCUGCAAAACAGCUCGAAUGCCUCUAGGCGGCACGCGAGUGUGUCAGAUCACACCCGGCAUACAGCCCUCGCUUCUUGUCCGGCUCUGCAUGAACAUUAGGGUCCCCCCUGCUGCUGUGGUGGCUGGCGUGGGGGCAGCACGGGUGCUGUGCAGGGCACCCCAGCCCCACCUCAUGUCCCAAAGAGCAGAGAUGUUGAUGCGGGGUUGCCCAAUGUGAAACGGGAGCUGGGCCCCACACCUGCUCGUGCUGGGAUGAAAACUCUGCAGCACUGCCUGGCAGUUCCCCAUCCUCCAGUCCUGCUGGGGACUAUUGCCCGUCCCCAUAAGGUAAGACCCCAAGUGCUCACAGCCCAUGGCCAGUGCUGGGUGACAUUUGUUUCUCAUACCUUUCAUCGCUGCAGAGAGCUGUGGGAUUGAAUUUCUGGCAUCUGCAGCUGGGCCUCCCACCUACCACAUCUCUGCCCCCGGGCCGAAGGCAGGGAGGGAUCUCCCCAGGUGUCGGCCCUGGGUUCAGUGGGCUUCCUGCUGCUCUGCCCCGAAGGGUGAGGUGGAGACGUGUAUUCCUUAGUGCUUGACCCAGACAACCAUGAAGUGACCAGCAGUGUUCCCUGGGAACCGCCAGACCCUGAUCAUCCUGGAAGAUCUGGACACCAGCUCCACGUGCUGUCUGACAUGGGUUUCUCUGUUGGCUGCUACUGUUUUCAGGCUGAGAUGUCCAGGGCUGGUGCCUACAUUGGCAUGGAUGUACAGAAAUGUUGACUGCAUGGGUUCAGAAAGCAACCGCUGCUUCUUGGGGAAUGACUUCUGGAGCAACCUGUGGAACAGGAAAGGGUUUUCGGCAUGGCACCAAAGACUGAGAGAUACCUCUUAAAACGUAGGACAGUUCUACCUGAACUACACCAGCAGGACCUCAUCCUUUUACAGGGUCACCUCUGAUGGCAAGACCUUGAUACACCAGACUGUGAUUUGCUGAGUCCCUCUACUCCAUCUUUUGGGUUUCAAGGAAAGAAAAUUCUAUCAGGACUGUGAGGGUGGGGAAGGUCCCACUCCUUGCCCUCCUGUGGAGGCUGCUUCAUUGAAAGCAUCUGAGUCAGAACUGGCCAGGGCUUAGGUUCUGGUGUGAUGCCGGUGCUGUUAUGGCAGGUAGCUGGCAAAGAAGGGAGACAUUUCAAUAAAGACUCUUGUAAUCAGGUGUGCCUCUUAGCAUCGCAUAUUUUGGAGAUGUACAUGGCUAGGAGUUUGUGGAGUGCUUGUCAGGGGUCAGUACAGAUUGUUCCCAGCAGUGGAUCCCUUAAUAUUCUGUUUUGUAUGAGUUAAAGCUAUUUUAUUUUUAUUUUAUUUUAUUUUAUUUUUAUUUUAUUUUUAUUUUUUAUUUUAUUAUUUUUCUUCCCCAGUGAUGGGUCAUGCACUGCCCUGAGAUACUGGCUUCACCAUGCCUGGUGUACGUGGGCAGGCCAAGGUUUUGUUGCCAUUUUCCCUGCUGUGCCUGGAUAAUGGUCUCAGCCCCCAGCUCAGUUCUCAGCCGGUUUCGGGGUCAGGGUGGCCCUGAGGCAGUGAGAGGUCCCUCUUGGUGCUGCCAUGUCCUGGUCUGCCCCGAGAGCAAAGAGCUGCGGUCGUGCUUUGCUCCAGGCAGUAGAAAGUGGACACAGCGAUCCCAGGAACGCCCCCAAACCUCCUGCCUUCUCCCAGGGUAACUGGGGAGCAGGAGGAAAGCGCUGGGGUGUGAGCAGAGAGCACUGGGGGCUGCCAAAUUUUGGAAACACGAGGACGGGAGAGCGCAUGGGCCCUAUGCUGGGAGGGAAAGCGAGCAGAGGAGGGAGCAGCAGUGGAGCUGGCAACCACAGGAGGGUGCUCUCAGCCCGCUGCUCGCCCCACUGCCUGCGGGGAAGGGGCCUGGAAGGCGGCUGCUGCCUCUCCCUCCUCUCCCUUGUCUCUUCUUCCUCCCAGCCUUCAUCUCCCCCUCCUCUCCCUCCUCGCCUUCGUCUCCCUCCUCUCGCUCCUCUUCCUCGCCCACGCUUCCUUCCCCUUGGUGAGUCGCUUUCAAGUGCAGCUUUCAGAGCACUGUGGGGGCAAAGGGGACUGCAGUGAGGGGGUCCCAUCAUGGGCUAAUUUAGGAGUGAGAAGCACAGAAGUUUCCCUGCAUGCUGGUGCUCCUCAGCAGGCUGGUUCAGGCUGCAGGCCCAACAGCAUGGGCUGCUGAGAAACUCAAGAUUUCCCCCCCUCUAGAAGUCAGCAGGGGGAGAGAAGCUGGUACAAAGCACCUUGCGGAGGAGGGGAGUCCGUCUCGCCCCAUUCUGCAGGUGGGGAAACAGAGGCAGGGGUUGGGAAGCUCUUUGCCAGCGCCACAUUGCAGAGACACACAACUGGGUCUCAGGGGUGCCUGGUCAGCACUGGGACAAAUGCAGUGCUAGAACCAGGUGAUGCCCUUUGUCCCAGGUACUUCGGCCUUGGGGCUGAGAUGGAUAAAUCUGUUUAUUGUGCUCUCUGUACAAAACAGAAACGAAGUGGAAAGGUGGGAUUGAACCGGAAGGGAAAGGCAUCAAGGCAUGGGAAUCUGCGCGUGGUUCCUCUAAUACUCACUAAAGGUAGGCCGGAAGCCAGACUUCAAUUUCUGAAAGUUGUCUUUGGGAGAAAAAGACAAUAAAAUGUCAAACAAGGCCAAACAAAGCCAUUGACUGUUGAAAUCAAAUGGUUUGAGUUUAUUCUCAUUUGACCUCUAUAAAAUAUGUGAAAUGGAAAAAAAAAAACCUGCUUCCUCUUAUGACCCAGUAUGUCAAGAAUUAUUGUUUCAUAAAAAUGAUCAAACAAGAUCCAGCGUCUUGGAGAUGAAACUGAGAGUGGCAUGUGGAGGGAAGAUGCCCAUAUCCAUGUGAGGGCAGUAACAGCCAUGUCCCCUCAGCAGGUCCAGGGUGGCCUUUCCACUGCUGAAGUGGGUGGAUGUGUGUCUAAAGAAACGGUUGCUGGUGCUGGGUGUGUAACAGCUGGUGCUCAAGAGAAGCCCUUUGGUCUGUGUUAUGAGAAAUGUCAAAUUAGACAAUUAAAUCAGUCCCUGUUGGUUUUAAGCCUUAUGGAUCCGUAGCCCUAAGGGUACACUGACAGAUUUACUGCCAUUUCACUGGUACUCGUUACAAGAGUAUUUUGCUCCAAGACACUAAGUAGAGCAAAGGGGCUGUAAAUCACAUCCAUACAUCGGCCCUGGCAGAAGAGGAUCUGA